CCUACGGGUGGCAGCAGUGGGGAAUAUUGGGCAAUGGGCGCAAGCCUGACCCAGCAACGCCGCGUGAAGGAAGAAGGCUUUCGGGUUGUAAACUUCUUUUGUGAGGGAAGAGCAGAGGACGGUACCUCUUGAAUAAGCCACGGCUAACUACGUGCCAGCAGCCGCGGUAAUACGUAGGUGGCAAGCGUGGUCCGGAUUUACGUGGUGUAAAGGGCGUGCAGACGGGAAGACAAGGCAGAUGUGAAAUCCCGCGGCUCAACCGCGGAACUGGAUUUGAAACUGUUUGUCUUGAGUACCGGAGAGGCCAUCGGAAUUCCGUGUGUAGCGGUGAAAUGCGUAGAUAUAAGGAAGAACACCAGUGGCGAAGGCGGAUGACUGGACGGCAACUGACGGUGAGGCGCGAAAGCGUGGGGAGCAAACAGGAUUAGAUACCCGGGUAGUC
rnacentral:rRNA from 1 species